GAUGAACGCUGGCGGCGUGCCUAAUACAUGCAAGUCGAGCGAACUGAUUAGAAGCUUGCUUCUAUGACGUUAGCGGCGGACGGGUGAGUAACACGUGGGCAACCUGCCUGUAAGACUGGGAUAACUUCGGGAAACCGAAGCUAAUACCGGAUAGGCUCUUCUCCUUCAUGGGAGAUGAUUGAAAGAUGGUGUCGGCUAUCACUUACAGAUGGGCCCGCGGUGCAUUAGCUAGUUGGUGAGGUAACGGCUCCACAAGGCAACGAUGCAUAGCCGACCUGAGAGGGUGAUCGGCCACACUGGGACUGAGACACGGCCCAGACUCCUACGGGAGGCAGCAGUAGGGAAUCUUCCGCAAUGGACAAAAGUCUGACGGAGCAACGCCGCGUGAGUGAUGAAGGCUUUCGGGUCGUAAAACUCUGUUGUUAGGGAAGAACAAGUACAAGAGUAACUGCUUGUACCUUGACGGUACCUAACCAGAAAGCCACGGCUAACUACGUGCCAGCAGCCGCAGUAACAC
rnacentral:rRNA from 1 species